rnacentral:rRNA from 1 species
GACGAACGCUGGCGGCGUGCUUAACACAUGCAAGUCGAGCGGAAAGGCCCUUUUGGGGGUACUCGAGCGGCGAACGGGUGAGUAACACGUGAGUAAUCUGCCUCUGGCUCUGGGAUAGCCACCGGAAACGGUGAUUAAUACUGGAUAUGACGUGCUCCUGCAUGGGGGUUUCGUGGAAAGUUUUUUCGGCCAGGGAUGUGCUCGCGGCCUAUCAGCUUGUUGGUGGGGUAAUGGCCUACCAAGGCUUCGACGGGUAGCCGGCCUGAGAGGGUGACCGGUCACACUGGGACUGAGACACGGCCCAGACUCCUACGGGAGGCAGCAGUGGGGAAUAUUGGACAAUGGGCGGAAGCCUGAUCCAGCAACGCCGCGUGAGGGAUGACGGCCUUCGGGUUGUAAACCUCUUUCAGCGCAGACGAAGGCCUCGCUUUUUGGUGGGGUUGACGGUAUGUGCAGAAGAAGCACCGGCCAACUACGUGCCAGCCGCCGCAGUAAAAC